ensembl:lncRNA
GAAGAAGAAGAUUGUUUAUUUUUUUUGCAUGAGGAAGUCGAGAAGGAAAUGGUGACUGUGCUUGAAUCUGAAAAUGCCGCAAGUGACGUGUGAUAAUGAGUGGAAAAUAGUGUAAUCAAAGAAUGGAACAAAACGAGCAAAGAUUGUAGUGGAAGACAAGGACUGGACCAAUAAUGUAUUUCUUAUUGGACAAGGAGAUUCAAUUGGGAAAUCCAUUUGUAAUAUCGAGGACUGUGAAGGAACUAGUGGGAAAAGUGGAUUCAAUCAAGGUGACUAGAAGCGGCCUUCUUUUAGUUAAUUCUGUUGAUGAAGAACAGAAGAUGUGUGCACUGGAUCUGGCAAAAUUGUCCAUGCCAGAGGUAACAUGUUUUGAUCUUCAGAGCAGGGCGCCUACCAAAGGAGUUAUAGCUGGAGUCUCGUUGGAUACAGAUGAUGAGUACCUUAGUCAGAAAAUCUCAGGAGUGGUCAGUGCACUUCGCUUGACCCGUAUAUGGUGAAUGGAAGGAAGGAGAAAAGCCUGUUGAUAUUAUUGUUCUUUGAGGAGACUGGAUAUGUGAGGUAUGCGGUCAGAGCAUUUGUGUCCAAACCAUUACAAUGUGGAAAUUGUAAAGGAUAUGGUCACGUAUCAAAUGUUUGCAGACAGAAGUAUGAUAUUGAAGAAUCUGUGAAUGGAAAAUGUUGCAUUUGUGGUGGGGAUCAUACUCCGGACUUCCUUGAGUGCCCUAUUAGGGCGAAGGAGGUUGAGGUGUCAAGGGUCAGGGUUGCACAGCGGAUCUCCUAUGUGGAGACCGGUGAAGUCAAAGGGGCAAGAGUCAACAUUGUUGAAGAUAUGGCGGUGGAUGCAUUGCAACCAGUUGCUAGUGUUUCAAGUCAAUCGGGUGACCUGGAUACACUUAUUGUGAAGAAGGUGGAUUUUGUGGCAUUUAUAGCCACAGUGACUAAUUGCACAGCACAAGUGUCUAAUAAGUCCAAGAAGCUGGAUAUCAUUAUAUCUGCAACCGACGGAAGCACUACAAGGACUGUUGUUGCUAGGAAAUGUCCCGUCCUCACAGGAGGUUUCUGAGCCUGUGUUGAGACCUGAUUCGAAUUAGGUUUUUACAGAAAAGCAGGUUGAUUUUGUUUAUUUAAUAUUUAUUUAUUUUUACCAAAAUAUUUUCCUUUUUGGGAUCCUUGUUAUCCUCCCGCAAAGUAGGUGGCAGAAUGCACAUCUAACUCCCACAAGACGGUCAUAUCUUCUUCCUUCCCAUCCUGACUGGGAUUUACAGUGCCCUGGAGACACAGCCCGUGAUAAGAACAUCCAUGACUCUGUCAGUGCCCAGAUCAAGAAGAACUUUACCAAGAGCUAAUGGAAGGUGGGUUACUCUUCCUUAGUGGCGUGUAUUCAUGGAUGCCAAGGGAAGCCAGACUUCUGUCUCAGUAUGUGUAGGCCAUCUAUCUGAUACUGUAUGGUAAAAAAGAGUAUGACGUUGUUGCUGCCAGUAGCAUUGAAUGCAAGGGAAGCCAGCGGGCAUUUGGCCUCCCUUGAUUAAAAAAAAGUAUGCCAAUCAGCGUUGCGCUAAACUAAGUGAGCUAAACUGUGAAUGGUCCUGGCUGAACAACAAAAAAGUGUCAAGGGAAGACAUUUUUGGAUAUGGCUUCACUCCAAUCAAAUCAAGAGCAAUACGUCACUGAGACUGACUACUUGAAUUCUUGCAUCUCCUUGUUUUGUUGUCCACCAGUGGCUAGCUAGCUAAAACUGGCCCUUUCCUAAAUUAGCCAUGGAUGGAGACAGGGAUUUGACGUGGUUUUACUUAAUUCUCCGUACUGGCCAAUGAUUAUGACGACGAUUCUGAUCCAACCAUAAAUUCAUACAUUGUGCCCCUGGCCUGAGAGGAUGGAAGUUCAAUAUGUAGCUAGAUGUAGAAGGCUGUUAACUAGCUAACGUUGCCCAUGAAAGGAAGUUAGGCAAGCGGGCAAGCAUUUUUGCCAGGUAGCCUAGGACAACAAAGAAUGUGUGUACUGUAUGAUAGUCAUAGACCGUUUCAUCAACAUGAAAUAGAGGAAGAUGGCAAGUAAGCUGAGGGGGGCUGCUCCCAGAGUGCGGAUCAGAUCAAGACUCCCUGACCAACUGUACCCACCGCUAACCUGCAACAAGCUGCAUCUGUUCCCCCGGACACAAAGGGUGUUGCCAACCAAUGACUUUCGCACGAUAUACCUGUGGAGUCCAGAGAAACUCCCCAGUCUGGCCCAGAACACAGAGCUGUUGUUCCAAAGAAAAGGAGAGCUAUUGUAUGUACCCACUGCAUUCCUGGGUGAUAUUAUUUUGAGAGUGGGACAGAGCUUGUAAAGUGUUUUUACUCAUGCUUUUAAAAAUGUACCUCUGCUUUUUCCCCCCCAUCUCUGUGUUUCUGUACAUGAUUUUUAUAAUCGUUAUUAUCCUUCCCUGUUCACAACAUAGGACUGAGCCACUGAUGUUACCUGCAUGAUCAGAUGACAGGCAGACAGGUUCUCAUGCAUGUUGACUGGCAACAGGUGUUUUUAUAGCAUGACAAGUCUACUGCAGAACUAUACUGAACAAAAAUAUAAACGCAACCAUUUCAAAGAUUUUACUGAGUUACAGUUCAUGUGAGGAAAUCAGUCAGAUAAUCUUGGCAAAGGAGAAAUGCUCACUAACAGGGAUGUAAACAAAUCUGUGCACAACAUUUGAGAGAAAUAAGCUUUCUGCGCAUGGACAAUUUCUGGGAUCUUUUAUUUCAGCUCAUGAAACAUGGGACCAACACAUGUUGUGUUUAUAUUUUUGUUCAGUGUAUGUGGUACCACCCAUUGUGGAAUAGUUUCCAUACAGCAGAUAAUGCAGCUAAUACUUCACGAGAGAUGGACUUACAUGAAGUGCUGUUCCUCAAACUAAGAAUAGGUCUCAUUUAACCCAGUUUUACUCUUGUUUAAACAACAUUCUAACCUGAUAGGGCAAUAUGAUCCUGUUGAUAAAGACUCUUUUAUGGGGAGUUUCAGCCUGGAUUUGAACUGGUCAAAACUUUAUCUAUUUAAGUUAAGACCAUGGGAGAUAUGAGCUCAGUUUAAGAGCACGGAAUAGAUAUGCACGAAUAGAAAGCCAAAUAUAUGUUUUUUACUGUGUAGAUACAACCAACCCCCUUUGGAUCACCCUUCCAUGGAUCUUUUCUUCAUUCAUAUUGCGGUUGAUUUUUCAAGCAAUUGUAUUGUGUACAGAGAGAACUUGAAUGUAAAUAUUAAUCCAGUCAUCUCACUUCAUUAAAUGUCACUCACCAUAAGGUCAUGUUAAAUUUUCAUAACCUAUUGGACAUACAAAAGUGGGAUUUUGUUAUUCACUCAAGAAUACUCAUUUUACUAAAAUGUUUGUGCAUUUUACAAUUGAAUGUAUGUACAAGAAACAGCUUGCCCUGGCAACCUUCAGGGUGGCAUUGAAAAGUCUGACAUGGAAUAUAUACCCUAAUCUGUGAUCUGUGUAAGACGCAAUAUCUAAUGAGAAAUUGUCAGUUGUAACCCAUUAGGUUGAGGCUUUCAGCCCGAGAUGGUUGGCCAUGGAAUAAAAAAUAAGUUGGUGUGCUUUUGCACCCCUUUUAGGUCUUCAUAAAUAUCCAUCCCAUGUCCAGUCAUACUCGUGGUCUCAGCGUGUGUCCGUCAACGUCAGUCCAUCUCAGUUGCGGUGUUCAAAUCGAGGUCCUCACGUGUCUGUGAAUCACAACAUUAAAGACGAUGAGUUAUGACAGCAUUUCCACAAAUUGAGCCAUAGACAAUACAACUUAAGCAUUGUUUUACACUGUCUACAGUGUGUGAAUGACAGAAGAAUCUUAUCACAGCAGUAGAUCCGUUUGUGUGUGGUCACCUAGGCCUUCACAUCAACCGUACUGGGACCAUUGGAGACUUGAGUGUGUAUAUAUACUGGGACCCUUGGGAUGAGUGUGUAUAAGCUUGUCCUUAAUAAAAAUC